UGAGCGACCUACCUAAUUGUGGGGGGAUAGCCGGCCCAACGGCCGGGUAAUACCGCAUACGAUCGGAGAGGGGGCAUCCCUUUCUGAGGAAAGCCUUCGGGCGCAAUUCGAGGGGCUCGCGGCCUAUCAGCUAGUUGGCGGGGUAACGGCCCACCAAGGCGACGACGGGUAGCUGGUCUGAGAGGAUGGCCAGCCACAUUGGGACUGAGAUACGGCCCAGACUCCUACGGGAGGCAG
rnacentral:rRNA from 1 species